AGCGAACGCUGGCGGUAGGCCUAACACAUGCAAGUCGAACGGCAGCACCGUAAGAGCUUGCUCUUACGGGUGGCCAGUCGCGGACGGGUGAGGAAUACAACGGAAUCUACUUUUUCGGGGGGGUUAACGUAGGGAAACUUACGCUAAUACCGCAUCUGCCCUACGGGUGUAAGCAGGGGAUCUUCGGACCUUGCGCGAUUGAACGCGCGGAUGUCGUAUUAGCUAGUUGGCGGGGUAAAGGCCCAGCCAGGCGACGAUCCGUAGCUGGUCGGAGUGGAUGAUCACCCACACUGGAAGUGGGACACGGUCCAUAGGCCUACGAGAGGGAGCAGUGGGGAAUAGGGGACAAUAGUCGCAAGCCUGAUCCAGCCGGACCGAGUGGGAGAAGGAGACCUUCGGGGUGUAAAGCCCGUUUGUUGGGAAAGAAAAGCUGCAGGUUAAGACCCCGCGUGUCUGACGGUACCCAAAGAAUAAGCACCGGCUAACUACGUG
rnacentral:rRNA from 1 species